GACAGAGGGUGAGAACGUUGCUCGGAAUUACUGGGCGUAAAGCGCGUGUAGGCGGACUGGUAAGUCGGACGUGAAAUCCCUGGGCUCAACCCAGGAACUGCAUCCGAAACUAUCAGUCUGGAGUGGUGGAGAGGAAAGCAGAAUUCCUGGUGUAGAGGUGAAAUUCGUAGAUAUCAGGAGGAACACCGGUGGCGAAGGCGGCUUUCUGGACACUAACUGACGCUGAGACGCGAAAGCGUGGGGAGCAAACAGG
rnacentral:rRNA from 1 species